rnacentral:rRNA from 1 species
AUUGAACGCUAGCGGGAUGCUUUACACAUGCAAGUCGAACGGAGUGGCGGACGGGUGAGUAAUAUAUCGGAACGUGCCCAGUAGAGGGGGAUAACUACUCGAAAGAGUGGCUAAUACCGCAUAAAAUUGGAGCGGGAGAUAUCGGAUUAGCUAUUUGGGGGGGUAAAGGCUCACCAAGGAAACGAUCCGUAGCUGGUUUGAGAGGACGACCAGCCACACUGGGACUGAGACACGGCCCAGACUCCUACGGGAGGCAGCAGUGGGGAAUUUUGGACAAUGGGGGAAACCCUGAGCCAGCCAUCCCGCGUGUAUGAUGAAGGCCUUCGGGUUGUAAAGUACUUUUGGCAGAGAAGCGGUAUCUGCAGAAUAAGCACCGGCUAACUACGUGCCAGCAGCCGCGGUAAUUC